CUCACGCACAGACCCCACCACCUCCUUCUUCCACGUCCGCUCGGUCUCCCUCCCCAUCAUGACAGUACCUCAACGACCAAAACAAAUCCAUGAUCCGCGCAAUCCUGAACCCCCUCGACCGAAUCCGUUGAAACAGAUCGAAUCCCCUGUCUCCCCUCGAUUGAUUCCCAUCCUCACCUCGCGGAACUGAGCUCCUCGACUCGCUGGAUCUCCGCUGCACGAAGCUCCUCCGACGACGAACUGCAGAGCGGCCAGAACCACUGCUUCGAGCGCCCCACAUCCUCCCGAAGUUCGCCGGCAACUGCCAUCGUUCCAGCCGCACCGCCUUGUCGCCAAAGGUCGCCCACGUUGUAACCGAGGAGGUUUUCGAGUUGGCCAUGAAGCCCCGCACGCCGUCCCAUGCUUCCCGAGCUUCGGGAGCCACCUUUGUGAGCUCUUGAACGGAGCCGAGCCGCCCCGCCACCGCGCCAUGGUCACCGGAGUGCAUUCCGAUUUCUCGGAGCGUGACGAGUAGAGUUAUCAGGAUGAUGAGUGCGACGAUCUUCAUCAAAUAUACUAGGCAAGUUACACCUUGGUCAUCCUUCAUCCUAUUAUUUUUCAUGCAUGUAGUUCUAUAUCACAAUACCAUAUUGUGCAUGUGUAGGAAUAUUAUGGCAGUAUGCUAUUGCUAUUGAGAUGUAGUUAGUAUGGCCUUAUUGUAGAUCGUGAUAGUGUAUGCUUGCUAUGCUAGGUAAACGGGUAUUGGUUCGUGCAUGCAUUGAGAAUAUGUGAGGACUAUAUAUAAUAUAACUUGAGUAAAAACAUAAUAUAUAAUUCACCUCUGGGCGGAAGUGGUAUUGUUUGGUGUUGAGGGAAGGCAUCAUGGGGUCUUGCACUUUUUCCAAGGCCAUGCGCCCAUGAGAGUGCACCCUAAGUGGAAAGCCACUCAGGUUCCAUGUGCGACCACUGGCUAUAUGGGCUCUGGCUUAGUUGACCAGUUGUUGGAACCCUUGCCCAGACAGUGUCAACAGAUGUAGCAUAUAUAUAGGUGGGAUGUGGGCGUUAGGUGUUAAGGGAACCUCUUCUGAAAGACUUCGUCUCAAUCUUCGGAUUGGUUCCAGUGGUUAAAGCGUAAAAAACUCUGCAGAGUAUUAAAACUAAUCAUGAUUAACCGUGUCCCCGAUUAUGGACAAAUUUGAGCAGCUAGACCAUGAUAGUUGUUGAAUGAUCUUAACGGAUGAUAUCUUAAUAAAAAUUGAGUGGGAAAUUUAGUAAUGGGGAUAGGUUGGUAUUGGAUUGCCCAACUCAACCAUAUGUAUUUAAUUGUAGCAAGACGAAAAUAAAAUUUAACGAUUACAUUAUGUAGUUAUGUCACAGCCCUAGAAUUUGCUUGUCAUUAGUUGCAUUAAAGCAUCCAUGCAUCAUGUUAAUUCUCAAUUAAAGUUGAAAUGGGGAUGACAAACCCUAGCACCAAAUUAAAU